GAUGAACGCUGGCGGCGUGCCUAAUACAUGCAAGUCGAGCGAACAGACGAGAAGCUUGCUCCUCUGACGUUAGCGGCGGACGGGUGAGUAACACGUGGAUAACCUACCUAUAAGACUGGGAUAACUUCGGGAAACCGGAGCUAAUACCGGAUAAUAUUUUGAACCGCAUGGUUCAAAAGUGAAAGACGGUUUUGCUGUCACUUAUAGAUGGAUCCGCGCCGCAUUAGCUAGUUGGUAAGGUAACGGCUUACCAAGGCAACGAUGCGUAGCCGACCUGAGAGGGUGAUCGGCCACACUGGAACUGAGACACGGUCCAGACUCCUACGGGAGGCAGCAGUAGGGAAUCUUCCGCAAUGGGCGAAAGCCUGACGGAGCAACGCCGCGUGAGUGAUGAAGGUCUUCGGAUCGUAAAACUCUGUUAUUAGGGAAGAACAAAUGUGUAAGUAACUAUGCACGUCUUGACGGUACCUAAUCAGAAAGCCACGGCUAACUACGUG
rnacentral:rRNA from 1 species